CCUACCAGCCAUUGUGAACUUAGUCAUCGGAGUGGCUUCCCAGAAGCCUCCAACAACAGCAGACACAGUAGCCCUGCAGAGACGAGACUGCUUCCCUGGGUGGAGAAGUUGCAUUGGCAGUGCGAGCAGAGACAGUGUUAGCAGCAAAGAUCUGCAAGCUUUCUGCUGAGAAGAAGCUGCAGUGAGGAGCUAAAUAGAGAUGCUGUGCCGCAAGAGAGGUGAAUGGCAGAUGGCGGCAGCAGCGGCUUGGAGUGCGCCACAGAGACCAGACCCUGGCAGCUAGUGCCCAGCAGAGAUGCCACAGGAGAGGCAGCGGACAGACAGGCAGAUGAGACGUGUUCCUGCAUGUAAGAGCAGUGAGAAAUGCAGAGUUAACACAAAGCCGUGCUCCAGGCUGAAUGGCAAACAGGCUGAAACCUAGAGCAGCCUAGCUCCCAGCAACAGAGCCAUGUGGCUACCCUGGGAGUGAUUUUGGUUAUUUAAAAGCAGGACAGUGCACAGAGGAUUCCAGGACCCAAAGGGCCACAGGUGGAGCAGGACUGCCAGUGGAGGAGAUAAUGGAACCUGAGGAAGCCACAGCUCAUAGUGGCUUGGUUUCCUCUGGGAACAGGGUACUAAAUAGAGAGCUGCAGCUGGGGGGUACUUUGAGUCCUUAUGAGAUGAGGUGGUUGAGAGCCUCGGGACCUCCAGACACAGGAUCUCUGGGCUGAAAGCUGAAGACAAGAGAUAGACUGGGACUGUAAAAGCAAUGGGAGAAACCAGCAGCCUAAGAAGCUUGCAUAGUGAUUUGUGGUACCAAGGAAGCUAGAUAUCAGGAAGGAGGCUUUCAGGUGAUUGACCUACCUGACUUGAAGACCAGAGGUGAUUUCUUUAAGUGGUUAGUUUGCAGAUUAUUUCUGUCUGAAACUGGUCAUGUAUACCUAAGCUCACCCUGAGAUUCACUCAUGAGUGUUGCUAUAAUUCUUUCUGAUUCUUGAAGCUUCUAUUAUUUCUCUUCCACCUUUUCUCUCUUUCUUCUUUCUCUCUUUCUUCUUUCCCUCUUUCUUUCUUUCUUUCUUCCUUUCUUUCUUUCUUUCUUUCUUUCAUUGCUGUUGUUCUGCUUCUUGCUAGCUUUCCAUCUUCAUGCCCUGUUAUUUUUAUGCUUUCUAGCUCGCUCCAUAUCGAUUGCCACAUCUUUUGUUCCUUUUCUGCAGGUGAAUGUUCAUGAUUAUUUUGGUCUUUUCCUUGGCAUUGCCUCCUUACCUGAAGCCAUGCUUCCUCAUGACCCAUAGUCAUGCCUCUUUCUAAGGAAAGCUUCCAGUUCACAUUACUACUCUAAUGCAGACACCUGAUUCUUUUGAAACCAGAUGCAAUGGUGCCACUCAAUGUCAUAAAAAGUGAUAAUUUUGCAAGUGAUCAUUUGCUAUUUAAUAGACCACAAAUUUUCAUUUCUAGUGGAAACUUAGUGAGCUAUUUAUGAUUAUGAAUGUAGAAUUUAUGAUAUGUAGUAUAUACUCAAAAAUCCUGCACACUGCCCAAAUCUCUUUGAAGUGAAGAGUACAAUUAGCAUGCAAAGUUAUAUAAUUUUAUUUAUUCAUCAACAAAAUUUUACUAUGCAACAUGAAAUAAUUUGAAAUAUAAAAACCUUCAUGUUCCUGGUAUAUUCACCUGGUAUAUUCAAAAAUGAAAAUAGUGAGAUUAGAAAUUCAGGUAGGUAAGUUCUCUAAUAUCAAAAUUGAUAUACCAUAAUUUGUCUUAAAAAGAUAUCAAAUGACAAUCAUUUUAAUACCUUAUUUUAUUCUGUGUGUAAUAGUGAGCAGCUGUAAUCCUAGAACUUUGAAGGUAGAAGCAGGAAAACGAGGAGUUUAAUGUUAUCUUCAGCUGCAGAGCACAUUCAAGGCCACUCAGCACUACAGAAAAUGGAUCUCUGAACACCAAAAUAAGCAAGUAAAUGAAAAAUAUAAACAAAUAAAUACAAUUACUGGUAUUAAGAGAACAUUACUCUGCCAAAUAAUAUUCAAAAAGUCAUGGAUAUGUUAACUGACUAGUUUACAGAUGGCAAGAACCUGAAUUAGCUUUUCAUACUUACAUAACUUAGUCAAGAGGCCCAUGUUCACCCAACCUUGGCAACCAAGCCAAAAUAAUCCAACCCCAACAAUGAAGCCAAGGUUACCUAACCUAGGUCCCUGCAAAUCCAAGUAGCUUUCAUCUGAGACUGUGUGUCUAAGAAGCUCAGAAACAUUCUUCAUUGAUGAAGUAGAAUUGAAUAUAAGCAAAUAAUAAACUCAUGCUAACCACAUUCCAGUUAAAAAUUGAUAUGUUUCAAAGUUGUUUAACAAAUACACAGAUGGUUUGUCACACAUUUAAACCUAAUGAAUUGACUCAGUUACUGUUUUCAGAAUAGUAUGAUGAACUGUGCAUUAUGGUAGAACUUUGUGUGAGUUGUAUAAUUUCAUUCCUAAACAAACCUUUAGGACAAAUACUAUUGUGAUCAUCACUAGGAGAAUGAUUUAUGAUAUUAAAUAAGAUGCAAAGAAUGAGCAUGGGCCAUUUAGAAAUCAGCUGUAACAGGGUUAUGAAGGUGGCCUGAUAAACAAUCCCCUCUUUUCUCAGCUAGCUUGGGGAAACUUUGGACAGGGCAUUCUAGAGGAACACCCAGGUCUCCAGGGUAAUAGAGGUUAUUCAAAGAUUUAUAGAGGAGCAUGAGUAUUAUCAUCUACACAUCCUUUAUAGGUUAAUUUGUAUGUCUUUAUAAAAUUAGUUGUCUUUAGAUGCACAUAUAUUAUCAUUAUUUGUUUUAAUAGAAAAAUAUUAUGAUGCAUUCCAUCUCAAUGUAAACACUCAUAAUUUUCACAGAAAAACUCUGAACAUUAAACAUUAUUAUAAAACCUUAUAGUGAUGAUGAUACAGAAGAGAAAAUAUCUCAAUAGCGAAUAGCAGUUGCUGAAGAAAGGUGCAAAGGAAUCAGGCUGAUGGAGAACAUAAAGAUACUGUGGUAGACAUCUUAAUAGCAAAAAGUAUACCUUUUAUGAAAAACGUAACAGAACAUUCCAUGUGAACAUGUAACUGAAGGAAUUAAUAUGUGUGCGUAUGUUUAGAUUAAAUUUAUUUUUAUUUAUGUGUAUGUGAGGAUCUGUGCAAGUGUGUGUGGGUGUUCCAAGAAGGCCAGAAUAAAAGGUCAAAUCCCCUGGAACUGGAUUUACAUGUAUAAUCUGAGAACCAAACUCAGGUCUUACAGAAACAAACCACAUGCCCUUAACUGCUGGCCUGUCUCCACUCCAAAUGAAUGAAUUUUUAAAGCUAUUUCUGAUGCAGACAUCUUAACUCUCAAUUUUCUUGUGUAGAGUGGGCAUAGAUUUGUAUUCUGCAGAGUGAACCGUGUACAAAAUUUGAAAUAUGGGCAAGCCAGUAGAGGUCUUCGAAUAUUUAGUAACUGAGUCGAGAGCUAAGACACUGUGAAAGGGGUGUGUAAAGCAAGCAAAAGGUCUCAUCUACUGAAAAAUGUGUUUAAGUGGCCAUAAGAUUCGAUGUACAAGAAAAUAACUAUAAUGGGGUGAAAAAUGAAAUGCAAUAUUUAAUGUGCCCUCUGAAUGGGAUUUGCUUGUUUGGCAUUAAAAAUGUGGUUCCUUUAAAUGUAAAACACUUCUGCAUACUGUUUACAAAAAUAAACGGACUGUGAGAUGAAGACUAAGUUAGUGGGUUGAAGGGAAAGGAAAAGAAGGAAAGAAACGUGAGAUGGACAGGGACAAAGGAAGGUGUGAGUGAGAAAACAGAAAAGGAAGGAGAGAUUUGAACAGGAGUCAGUGAAGCACCCACACUCUCUUCUAGAGAGCCACUGCCAUGGACAUCGGCUGUCAGUCACAUUGUUCUAUCUUUGCCGUGGAGUUUUACUCGCCAGCACACACCACGAGUGCCAACCCAUGUCGAAAGCAACCAUUCAUGGUUGGGAAACCAAAUGAGGGAAGAACGUUGUCGGACUACAGAUGAAUCGUGAGAAGCACCGUCCUCUCGUCAGUCACCACAGUGAAGCUGCUGAGUGAAUUUAAAUGAUUCUCCGUCAGCGUUAGCCCACAGUGGACACGGCUCUUAGGCUUGACUUCACUAAGAGUCACUGCAGGAAAAUAACUUUGCUCCAUUAAUAAACAGUCAUAACUUGA